ACACAGAAUGAAGGUGAAGGGAUGGAAAAGGUUUUCCAGGCAAAUGGAAAUGAAAAAAAAAAAAAGCUGGGGUAGCAAUACUUAUAUCUGACAAAAUAGACCUCAAAGUGAAGGUCAUGAUAAGAGAUAUGGAAGGCCACUUCAUACUACUAAAAGGAUC